UACGGGGGGGGCAAGCGUUGUUCGGAAUUACUGGGCGUAAAGGGCUCGUAGGUGGCCAACUAAGUCAGACGUGAAAUCCCCAGGCUCAACUUGGGAACUGCGUCUGAUACUGGAUGGCUUGAAUUCGGGAGAGGGAUGCAGAAUUCCACGUGUAGCAGUGAAAUGCGUAGAUAUGUGGAGGAACACCGAUGGCGAAGGCAGCCCCCUGGGUCAAGACUGACGCUCAUGCACGAAAGCGUGGGGAGCAAACAGG
rnacentral:rRNA from 1 species